rnacentral:snoRNA from 1 species
AUCCCAUGAUGAGGAUAGGCGGUGACGUAUUCCUGUAAUCUUUCCCAUGCCUCCGGGGUUGUAUCAUCUUUUGUCUGCUGGAAACUGGAUAUUCUUUCACGAAGGGC